GAUCUCCUAGUUCAGUGGUAGAAUUUCUGAUUCCAGCGUAGUUGGAGCGUCCAGAAGGUCGUCCGUUCAAUCCGGGCGGAGAUCA